GAGCAAUCUCAUUUCCUGGAAUCCAAGAAUUAUAUAAUACUGGACUUUGCUAAAGAAUAAGCUCAUCGAACGAUUCUGGCCGUGCUACAGAAUAUUGAAUCAAGCAAAAUACUAGCCAUUGGAAGUUUCUUAUGAUCGCCUGAUUUCUAUAGUUCAACGAACGAAACUGUAGACUGCGUAUAAAAAUAUCUACUUGAAAUUUGUCCUUGACCGAGAAGCAUUCCCUGCCUUCUGCCCCCUGCACCCCCCAGCCGUUCUUUGUUCGGAACAGAUUUGCUAACUCACAGUGCUGGGUAGCAUUGUGUCACUGGAAAUCAUGACAUCUAAUUUGUCAACUCUGAAAGUUUUACGAAGUUCAAAUCUUCGACUUGUCGCAGUCUUUGAAAGUGGAAGGGGCAGCUAAGUUUUUGGACCAAUCCGCUGACAGCUAAACGACGCCAAGAAUUGUGAAUUUCAAUCUACUAUUGAUGCAUCGUUGUUAGAACGUAUCACGUAAUAUCACAAUAAUCAUUGAUGGUAGGAAUAAGUUUGACUACAAUAUUAUACGAUACAGCUGCCAGUAUGACAAAUGUAGAACGUAACUGCUGUUCAUCGAAAACUGAUUAUUCGUUGAUACUAAGAAUCAAGUAGAACGUAUUGAACGCACCAACAGUCGUGUUGGAGAACGAAUAGCAG